UACGAAGGGUGCAAGCGUUACUCGGAAUUACUGGGCGUAAAGCGUGCGUAGGUGGUUUGUUAAGUCUGUUGUGAAAGCCCCGGGCUCAACUUGGGAAUGGCAAUGGAUACUGGCAAGCUAGAGUGCGGUAGAGGGUAGUGGAAUUCCCGGUGUAGCGGUGAAAUGCGUAGAGAUCGGGAGGAACACCAGUGGCGAAGGCGGCUACCUGGACCAGCACUGACACUGAGGCACGAAAGCGUGGGGAGCAAACAGG
rnacentral:rRNA from 1 species